rnacentral:piRNA from 1 species
UUCUAAGACUGGAAAAGCUCAGA